CCUUUGACGUUAGCGGCGGACGGGUGAGUAACACGUGGGUAACCUACCUAUAAGACUGGGAUAACUUCGGGAAACCGGAGCUAAUACCGGAUAAUAUUUCGAACCGCAUGGUUCGAUAGUGAAAGGUGGUUUUGCUAUCACUUAUAGAUGGACCCGCGCCGUAUUAGCUAGCUGGUAAGGUAACGGCUUACCAAGGCGACGAUACGUAGCCGACCUGAGAGGGUGAUCGGCCACACUGGAACUGAGACACGGUCCAGACUCCUACGGGAGGCAGCAGUA
rnacentral:rRNA from 1 species